rnacentral:lncRNA from 1 species
AAUGAAAAAUGAAUAUUGAAUAUAUUAUAUUUGUACUUUAAAGUCAAACUUGAUUUUAAUAGUUCAAGUGAUAAAGUAAGAACAAUAAGUGAACAUCUACAAACUAUGUAUUUGAUUUGGAAUUAUUAACUUGUCCAGGAAGUAGCUGUGAACCAGAAAAUCGACUCGAGACUCGAGAGUAAUUUAUUUGGAUAUUUGGUGAGUGUUUUCUGAAUUUAUGUGUUAAACUGCUUAUGUGUACCUAAGUGCAAUUAUAUGGCAAAUGUGCUUAUUAUGAAAUAUUGCUAAGUGAUUCAUUGGAAGCGUAUCUCAAUUGUCCCUCGUCUUCUAAGUCGAGGGUGUACUUUAUCGCACUUGACUUAGUUGAACUUGAAGAUUGAUAAUUGAUCAAGUGAUAUUGUAAGUGUGCAUGACUGUAAGCCGUGUGUGUACUUUAUCACGCCGGCUGAACUGGGCCCCAAAACCCUCUGUUCAACGGACUAUUCGAGCCAGCAAAGGGCUUGGUCGGUAGGACGGUAGGUUUGGGUAAGUGUUUUGGUAUGCUUGAGUAUUACCACGGUGUACUAGAUUACUGAUAUUGAUAUGGCCAUCCAAGUGAGGGAAGUGUUUAUUGUUUUGGAGGUUAUAAGGAGGAGUUCGGCGGAGUGUGUAGUGCAUUGAAGUGGCUCUAAUGCGAGCACCGUAUCCUUUUAAAAGUGAUUGUUCAGUGAAGUGUUUCCUCAAUUGCUAAUGAAAGUGAUUGUACAGUGAAAUGUGCACUAUUUAUUUAAUUGUAUUGAUUCAUGUGAUUAUUAAAUGUUACUUGCAUGGAAACCUCACGGGCGUAAGCUCACCCUUUUAGUUUUGUUUUCCUUACAGGAGUCAAAGAUUGAAGAGUGAUUGGAUUGAACUAGAAAGUUAUUUUGGGAAGAUCCAUUAUUCUGUGUAUAUAGUGUAGGCAUGGUCUCUGUUGAAUUUUGAAACGGUUGAAUUUUUGUUUGAGUUGGUGUGAUAUUAAGAAUGGAUAUUUAGAACAGGUAUUUUGUUUCUUUUAUUGGACAAAUUUAUGUUUCAAACUGAUUGGAGAUGUACUUAAGAGUGAAUGUUCAGUUGUUCAAUAGUAAUGUUAUCUUUGAAGUUAAUGUAAGUGAGUGAGUUCUGGCGAGAGUCAGGCAGACGAUUCGCUAACUUCUAGAGUAGACCCUAGGAGAAGGUGGGGCCGUCACACUUUAGAAUUGUCAAUUUCUGACAAAUUCAAAGCAAAAUUUUUGCCUCUUAUUUUUACUGAGAAA